rnacentral:rRNA from 1 species
AAUGGGCGCAAGCCUGAUCCAGCCAUGCCGCGUGAGUGAUGAAGGCCCUAGGGUCGUAAAGCUCUUUCGCCUGUGAAGAUAAUGACGGUAGCAGGUAAAGAAACCCCGGCUAACUCCGUGCCAGCAGCCGCGGUAAUACGGAGGGGGUUAGCGUUGUUCGGAAUUACUGGGCGUAAAGCGCGCGUAGGCGGAUUAGUCAGUCAGAGGUGAAAUCUCAGGGCUCAACCCUGGAACUGCCUUUGAUACUGCUAGUCUUGAGUUCGAGAGAGGUAAGUGGAAUUCCGAGUGUAGAGGUGAAAUUCGUAGAUAUUCGGAGGAACACCAGUGGCGAAGGCGGCUUACUGGCUCGAUACUGACGCUGAGGUGCGAAAGUGUGGGGAGCAAACAGGAUU